rnacentral:rRNA from 1 species
AACGAACGCUGGCGGCAUGCCUAACACAUGCAAGUCGAACGAGACCUUCGGGUCUAGUGGCGCACGGGUGCGUAACGCGUGGGAACCUGCCCUUAGGUUCGGACUAACUCCCCGAAAGGGGUGCUAAUACCGGAUAAUUUCUUCGGACCAAAGAUUUAUCGCCUUUGGAUGGGCCCGCGUUGGAUUAGCUAGUUGGUAGGGUAAAAGCCUACCAAGGCGACGAUCCAUAGCUGGUCUGAGAGGAUGAUCAGCCACACUGGGACUGAGACACGGCCCAGACUCCUACGGGAGGAAGCAGUGGGGAAUAUUGGACAAUGGGCGAAAGCCUGAUCAAGCAAUGCCGCGUGAGUGAUGAAGGACUUAGGGUUGUAAAGCGCUUUUAGCCGGGAUGAUAAUGACAGUACCGGGAGAAUAAGCUCCGGCUAACUCCGUG